GAACUAGGCGCAGGAUGCCCUGACCCCUCCUGUUAAGCGCCUCCCCAUUACAUCUCACUACUUGUGUGCGCACUGCGGAGAAUUUAAAAAAAUAUACCCUUUGUGGUGUGGCUUUAAAAUGGUUUUCUUUCUCAGGAUAUCCUGUGUCUGCCUUCGGGUGGGUUUUUCAUGGGUUGGUUGGUUAGGAGAUGUCUCCUAUCCCUUUAAGAGGCAAAAACAUGAAAAAUGUAAAUGUAGAGACUUUAACACUUCCCCCCUUCCUAACAUUCAUAUAAUUGCUGUUAAGCCACAUUGAAAACCCUGGGGCCUGGUGUGCACCAGGGUAAAGUUACAUUUCACAAGCAGAAAAUUGACUCACCACUUAGGAAAAUUGGCUACCAAUUAUGUGUCAAAGGCUCUAAAGUCAGACCUGAGGUUUUCUUCGCCAGAAUGUGGAAUUAAAAAGAGCACAGGCGCCCAGCUUUGUCCCCUCUCCCUUCUCCCAGGAGAAACUUCUUUCUUGCAACUGAGUUUCUGAGUUUCCUUCUGAGAUGGCUUCUGGGCCCUGGCAAGAGGGUUCCUGGUCCACAGAGGGAUAAGCUAGCAAUAGGAAAGGAGGCCAUCAAUUGCUAGAAGCGCCCCCAUCCACAGUAUUUUAAAAAUCUGCUUAUGGGAUAUGGGGAGAAAGUUCCUUUUGCCCCAGUUGACCCAAGGUCUGAGAGCUGUGACUGAGGGGCCCUGGGGCUGAGGGGCUCUGGGGAAAGAAAAUGUCCUGGGAUAUCUGCUGUCUUUAGUGAUGUGGCUGUCACACCCAUAGCGUAUGCAGAGCCCAUUCUGGAAGUUCAUAGAUUGCUCCUGUUGUAGGAGGAGUUGUCCUGGCAGAGUGGUGAGGACAAGUUCCAGAAGCAGGAGGUCAACAUGGUGGGUGGAAAAAAAAAAAAACA